GUUUGGGUUAGCUCAAUGGGUAGAGCUCAGGGCUUGUGACCCGAAGAUCUCGAGUUCGAAUCUUGCCAGAGGCA
rnacentral:tRNA from 1 species